GAUCCGUCAUCUUCGAUUCAGCUAUAAAAGGAAAAAAAGAGAGAAGAAGAGUGGACCCUAAAGUGAAGAGACAUCACUUUUGUAAUCUUAAUCGCUAUUGCAUUUCACCAGGAAGGCAUUAGUAUCUUCUGAGACCUUUUAGUCAGGACCACUCUUUGCACCUCAUUUCUACACUUAUUUCCACUUUAGAAUCUUUGUCUCAUCUCUUCGCAUGUGAGAGGUUUUUGUGUAAUCAUCUGGUUUUUCACACAUGCACCCGUUUAUAGAUACA